rnacentral:tRNA from 2 species
AGUCAGUUAGCUCAGUGGUAGAGCACUACCUUGACACGGUAGGGGUCAACAGUUCAAAUCUGUUACUGACUACCA